rnacentral:rRNA from 1 species
UACGUAGGGGGCAAGCGUUGUCCGGAAUCAUUGGGCGUAAAGCGCGUGUAGGCGGUUCGGUAAGUCGGCUGUGAAAGUCCAGGGCUCAACCCUGGGAUGCCGGUCGAUACUGCCGGACUAGAGUUCGGAAGAGGCGAGUGGAAUUCCUGGUGUAGCGGUGGAAUGCGCAGAUAUCAGGAGGAACACCAAUAGCGAAGGCAGCUCGCUGGGACGUUACUGACGCUAAGGCGCGAAAGCGUGGGGAGCGAACAGG